AUUGAACGCUGGCGGCAGGCUUAACACAUGCAAGUCGAACGAGUGGCGGACGGGAGAGUAAUGCUUGGGAAUCUGGCUUAUGGAGGGGGAUAACGACGGGAAACGGUCGCUAAUACCGCGUACCCUCGGAUGAGACCAGGUGGGAUUAGGGAGUUGGGGGGGUAAUGGCCAACCAAUCCGACUAGCUCUAGCUGGUCUGAGAGGAUGACCACCAACACGGGAAUGGGGACACGGCCCGGAGUCCGACGGGAGGAAGAAGUGGGGAAGAUUGCGCAAUGGGGGCAACCUGACGCAGCAAUGCCGCGUGAAUGAAGAAGGCCUUCGGGUUGUAAAGUUUUUUCGGUGACUAGGCGUUAAUCACAGAAGAAGCACCGGCUAACUCCGUGCCAGCAGCCGCGGUAAUAC
rnacentral:rRNA from 1 species